GUCCACGCCGUAAACUAUGAAUGCUAGCCGUUGGGCAGCUCGCUGUUCAGUGGCGCAGCUAACGCAUUAAGCAUUCCGCCUGGGGAGUACGGCCGCAAGGUUGAAACUCAAAGGAAUUGACGGGGGCCCGCACAAGCGGUGGAGCAUGUGGUUUAAUUCGACGCAACGCGCAGAACCUUACCAGGGUUUGACAUCCCAAGACCGCUCUUGAAAGAGAGUUUUCCCGCAAGGGACUUGGAGACAGGUGCUGCAUGGCUGUCGU
rnacentral:rRNA from 1 species